rnacentral:lncRNA from 1 species
ACUUUAAAAUAAGGAAGCUUGAGGAAAAGUGACUAAAGGGAUUUAACAAUCUGUUGUGUUGUGUGCAGCUUUCUUUGGAGAGUAAUGAUUUACUUUUGUUGAAAUAAAAAUAUCAAUUACCAAUAUUUCCACGGUGAAAAAGUAGACAAAGAAUCUGAUAAUUCUUCAAGUUUUUAUUGUAUCUUUUUGUAUGUUUUCUUUCAAAACUCAUUUUUGUUUACUGGCCAGAAUUUUACCUCCUGUUGAUGCUGCACAACUGUUGCAAAAAAUUCAGUCGUAUCACACGACUGAGAGAGAAUUCGAGUUCUGGCAAGUUGAGCAAGCUGCUGGAGACAUGUCACAGGGAAGUUUGGGACAUAAGACCUCAGGCACAAGCCACCUGGGAACAAGGACCUCCCCCCCACCUCCACCACAAAAGUGAAGCCACCUUCCUUUCUCUCCAUGGCCUCAGUCUCCUCAUCUGGUCAUGGUCCUCAUUCUAAUGGUCUUUCUGGGCCAUGGGGUGCAGAGGACGGUCCCCCAUGUGUCCACAGGCUUGGACUGGCCCAGAGGUUGGGACUGGCAGGCUAAGUAGAUCUGGAGACGACAGGAUGCUCCCCUGCUGCAAGGAGUCCAUACCUUUCCUGGAGAUGCUUGUUUGCCUGGCUGUGCUUGGGACAGGAAGACACUGAGACAAAUGGAAGAGUGUUUCCUUCUGGUCUACAAAGCAGGUAGGGCGAGGCUUGGAACAACUGUCCAAAUUCAGAACUUGCUUCAGAAAGGGGAAAAAUUUGAGGGAGACGUGAAUACUGGACUUACUGAUGCUGGGGAAAAUUUUAUAAUGAGUGGAAAAUUUAGCUCUUGACUAGACCAUGGAAGUAGAACAUAAAACUGUACUGACCACUCUGAAGCAAGAGUACUGAAUUUCACUUUCAAAUCCAAGAUGGCGGUUAGAGCUAAUGGUUAGGGUGGGAGAAGGAUUUACUCCAAGGAGCUCACCCCUUUGGGUCAGGAAGCACGAUGAAUAUGAAUUUCAGGGAAUAACAUUGCAGAGAAACGAAAUGUCUUUCAAACAAUCAUAAUGCAUAUGCAAAUGACAUUAAAACUAAAUCGCCACUGUAUUUGAUGUUGCUAUCCACUGAGUGCUGUUGAUACAAAACAUUUCUCCACUCAGUUUAAGUGAAUGGGGGCAGGGAACAGGCUUUCUCUAUUAGAUGUGUCUUUGUGCUCGUUCGAAAUGUUUUGAGUACUUUGACCUUUACAAAAAAGGAAAAGCUGCCAGUAAAUGCCUUUGUGUUCCUACUAAUUUUGAUCCUGCUAAUUUCUGCCUUGUACAAAGAAAUAAGAGAUUUAAAAAAAAAAAAAGCUUGUUAUGAGCCACUAAAUUGAUUUGAUGCCUCAUUAAAGGGUAGCAAACUGCAUCUUGAAAAAUAAUUAGGCAAUUUUAUAUUCAUCUAUGUAAGAAUUGAUGAGAAGUAUAAAUAAAAUUAGAGGCAGUGAAAAUGACA